rnacentral:rRNA from 1 species
UAGGGAAUCUUCCGCAAUGGACGCAAGCCUGACGGAGCAACGCCGCGCGAGUGAAGAAGGAUUUCGGUUCGUAAAACUCUGUUGUUAGAGAAGAACAGCGCAUAGAGUAACUGUUAUGCGUGUGACGGUAUCUAACCAGAAAGCCACGGCUAACUACGUGCCAGCAGCCGCGGUAAUACGAAGGUGGCAAGGGUUGUCCGGAUUUAUUGGGCGUAAAGCGAGCGCAGGCGGUCAAUUAAGUCUGAUGUGAAAGCCCCCGGCUCAACCGGGGAGGGUCAUUGGAGACUGGUUGGCUUGAGUGCAGAAGAGGAGGGUGGAAUUCCAUGUGUAGCAGUGAAAUGCGUAGAUAUAUGGAGGAACACCGGGGGCGAGGGCGGCUCUCUGGUCUGUAACUGACGCUGAGGCUAGAAAGCGUGGGGAACGAGCAGG